rnacentral:rRNA from 1 species
AGGGUAUUUAGCUUGACUAAAUUCGCUGGCGACCGGCGCGACGGGUGACGUAACGCGUAUCCAACUUUCCCGUUACUCUCGGAUAGCCUUACCGAAAGGGAGAUUAAUACGAGAUGGUUGUUUUUAAUUUCGCAUGUUAUUAAAACUAAAGAUUUUAUCGGUAACGGAUAGGGAUGCGUGACAUUAGAUAGUUGGCGGGGUAACGGCCCACCAAGUCCACGAUGUCUAGGGGUUCUGAGAGGAAGGUCCCCCACACUGGAACUGAGACACGGUCCAGACUCCUACGGGAGGCAGCAGUGAGGAAUAUUGGUCAAUGGUCGAGAGACUGAACCAGCCAAGUAGCGUGCAGGAUGACGGCCCUCUGGGUUGUAAACUGCUUUUAGUUGGGAAUAAAAGGGAGUACGUGUACUCUGUAUUGUAUGUACCAUCAGAAAAAGGACCGGCUAAUUCCGUG